rnacentral:rRNA from 1 species
CAGCCGCACGGGAACACGGAGGGGGCUAGCGUUGUUCGGAAUUACUGGGCGUAAAGCGCACGUAGGCGGCUUGGUAAGUUAGAGGUGAAAGCCCGGAGCUCAACUCCGGAAUUGCCUUUAAGACUGCCGAGCUAGUAGGUGAGAGAGGUAAGUGGAAUUCCGAGUGUAGAGGUGAAAUUCGUAGAUAUUCGGAAGAACACCAGUGGCGAAGGCGGCUUACUGGCUCAUUCUAGACGCUGAGGUGCGAAAGCGUGGGGAGCAAACAGGAUUAGAUACCCCAGUAGUCCCUGUCUCUUAUACA